rnacentral:rRNA from 1 species
CCAGUGACAAAUUUAACGGCCGCGGUACCCUAACCGUGCGAAGGUAGCAUAAUCACUUGUUCUUUAAAUAAGGACUUGUAUCAACGGCAUCACGAGGGUUAAACUGUCUCCUUUUUCAUAUCAGUGAAACUAAUCUCCCCGUGAAGAAGCGGGGGUAAUAAUAUAAGACGAGAAGACCCCAUGGAGCUUUAAACCCAACUACACCCCCCUUAACUUUACCUCUAAACCUCCGGGGGUCUGUGUGUUCUGGUUUUAGGUUGGGGUGACCACGGAGCAUAAACCAACCUCCAUAAUGAAUAGAUUUCAUCUUUAUCCAAGACUCACACAUCUAAGAAUUAGCAUUCUAACAUAAAAUGAUCCGAUAUUCGAUCAACGAACCAAGUUACCCUGGGGAUAACAGCGCAAUCCAUUUCAAGAGCUCCUAUCGACAAAUGGGUUUACGACCUCGAUGUUGGAUCAGGGUAUCCUAGUGGUGCAGCAGCUACUAAAGGUUCGUUUGUUCAACGAUUAAAACCCU